GAUGAACGCUGGCGGCGUGCCUAAUACAUGCAAGUCGAGCGAACAGACGAGGAGCUUGCUCCUUCGACGUUAGCGGCGGACGGGUGAGUAACACGUAGGUAACCUACCUAUAAGACUGGGAUAACUUCGGGAAACCGGAGCUAAUACCGGAUAAUAUUUCGAACCGCAUGGUUCGAUAGUGAAAGAUGGCUUUGCUAUCACUUAUAGAUGGACCUGCGCCGUAUUAGCUAGUUGGUAAGGUAACGGCUUACCAAGGCAACGAUACGUAGCCGACCUGAGAGGGUGAUCGGCCGCACUGGAACUGAGACACGGUCCAGACUCCUACGGGAGGCAGCAGUAGGGAAUCUUCCGCAAUGGGCGAAAGCCUGACGGAGCAACGCCGCGUGAGUGAUGAAGGUCUUCGGAUCGUAAAACUCUGUUAUUAGGGAAGAACAAACGUGUAAGUAACUGUGCACGUCUUGACGGUACCUAAUCAGAAAGCCACGGCUAACUACAUG
rnacentral:rRNA from 1 species